AGAGUUUGAUCAUGGCUCAGAUUGAACGCUGGCGGCAGGCUUAACACAUGCAAGUCGAGCGGGGAAAGGUAGCUUGCUACUGGACCUAGCGGCGGACGGGUGAGUAAUACUUAGGAAUCUGCCUAUUAGUGGGGGACAACGUUUCGAAAGGAACGCUAAUACCGCAUACGUCCUACGGGAGAAAGCAGGGGAUCACUUGUGACCUUGCGCUAAUAGAUGAGCCUAAGUCGGAUUAGCUAGUUGGUGGGGUAAAGGCCUACCAAGGCGACGAUCUGUAGCGGGUCUGAGAGGAUGAUCCGCCACACUGGGACUGAGACACGGCCCAGACUCCUACGGGAGGCAGCAGUGGGGAAUAUUGGACAAUGGGGGCAACCCUGAUCCAGCCAUGCCGCGUGUGUGAAGAAGGCCUUUUGGUUGUAAAGCACUUUAAGCGAGGAGGAGGGUACCUUGGAUAAUACCCAAGAGUAUCGGACGUUACUCGCAGAAUAAGCACCGGCUAACUCUGUGCCAGCAGCCGCGGUAAUACAGAGGGUGCGAGCGUUAAUCGGAUUUACUGGGCGUAAAGCGUGCGUAGGCGGCUUUUUAAGUCGGAUGUGAAAUCCCCGAGCUUAACUUGGGAAUUGCAUUCGAUACUGGGAAGCUAGAGUAUGGGAGAGGAUGGUAGAAUUCCAGGUGUAGCGGUGAAAUGCGUAGAGAUCUGGAGGAAUACCGAUGGCGAAGGCAGCCUUCUGGCCUAAUACUGACGCUGAGGUACGAAAGCAUGGGGAGCAAACAGGAUUAGAUACCCUGGUAGUCCAUGCCGUAAACGAUGUCUACUAGCCGUUGGGGCCUUUGAGGCUUUAGUGGCGCAGCUAACGCGAUAAGUAGACCGCCUGGGGAGUACGGUCGCAAGACUAAAACUCAAAUGAAUUGACGGGGGCCCGCACAAGCGGUGGAGCAUGUGGUUUAA
rnacentral:rRNA from 1 species